AGUUAAGUGUGUAAAUUACCAGUGAACAAGAGUAUAAAGCUGGAAGAGAGGGAAGACAGGAGGAGAGUGGUUCAAAGCUGGAAGGGCUUGCUAACAAAGGCUUUGUCCAUGUGUAACCAGCAGAUGCUUAUUUUAUUUGUUGCAAGGGCGUAAGUAAAAUCUAUAUUGCCUCUUUAGUAUUGGGUUGUUAGAAUGUCAUUAUGUGAAGCACUUUAAUGGUACACUUCUGAAAUCCAGUCCAAUGCAAUUGAUGGGAGUAAUCAGUGGCUACAGGGGUUUGCCUCUUCAGUUAGCUCCCCUUGAUUUUAACCAGGUGCGCUGUUUUGUUAAUUGCUGUAUUGGUUUGUUUUUUUUAUUUAAUUCUUACAUUGUACUGCUGUGUUCAUUUUACUUUUUGAAAGUACCUGUUUGUCCUUGUUAAUCAUCAUUAAUAGAGUUAAUCUGCUUGUUAUUUCUCCCCUAUUUAAUCGUGUCUGAGAGAGAGAGGAACAGCAAGGAUGGGCUGAAGCAGAGCUUGUAGUGUCUGUGUUAAGAAAGUGAGAAUAUGCAUUCUUUUGCUUUUGGGCAGAAGGCUGAAGUGAGUGUCUGGGGGUUUGCACUACGCCUUCAAGAACGUUGUCAACAAAUGAUGGCCCGAGAAGUGAGGAGCAUACGACAUGAGGAUAUUCUGGAAUAAGAGAGGUGCUAGGAAUCGACCCUGAGAAGAGGAUCAAUGAAAUCUUAAGUCUGAGUUGAGAAUGGAAUUAACUAAAGAUUUGGAAGAAAAGAUUGCUGGGAUGCAGGAGGUACUUCUUAAUUGCUGUCGGAGAAGUGGCCCUGGAGGGAGAGGUUAUGAAACCCUGGUGGAGCCAAUGGACAUGGGGACGGGACUUCUUGUGGCUCGGACCUUAGUUGCUGUUCGCAACGGGAAGAUGCAGCAUUGCAUGAAACUGAAGCUUGCCAAGUGCUGCUUGUUACAGAAACGAGUACAGAAUUUAGGUCAUGUGAUUUCAGAACACGGUGUCUCUCCGGAUCCAGAAAAGACACCAGCAGUACAGGAAUGGAAGACUCCCACAGCUCUCAAAGAAUUGCGCUCCUUCUUUGGUUUCAUGGGAUAUUACCAAUGAUUUAUUCAGGACUUUUCCAAAAUCACUGUGCCUUUACAUCAGCUGCUUGGCGGGACCUCCCUCAAGGGAUCCGGUAGAAGACCUGCUUCAAUGCCAGUCACCAGGGGUUGGGGGCUGUCUUAGCCCAAGUGCAAGAUGGCCAAGAAAACGUAAUUGCCUGUGCAAGCUGGAGUCUUCAAGCAGCUGAGCGAAAUGACUCUAUAGUUCUUUUACGUUGGCGUUAUUGGCGUUGAAGUGGGCGAUCACCGAGAAAUUCCACGAGUACCUGUUUCAGGUCCCAGUUUACGGUCUUCACGGAUAACAAUCCACUUGUACACCUGCAGAAGGCUCACUUAGGAAGAAAGAAACAGCGCUGGGCAACACACUUAGCUGUUUAUCACUUUCAGGUGAAAUAUCAUCCCGGCCGCGCUAAUGAGAAUGCUGAUGCCUUGUCCCGUAUGCUAUUGAGUGAGGCUGGAGUUGAAGAGGAUAGGGAGGCUUUGGAAGUGCUUGCUUUCAAGGAUGUCCGGAUGGAGGUGGUGCAGGUACUUGUAGUCAUGUUAUUUCUCAUCUGCAACUUGUACAAAAUACUGCUGCUAGAGUUUUAACAGGGACUAAGACAAGAACACAUUACUCCCAUAUUAGCAUCUUUGCACUGGCUUCCUGUCUAGUUUAGGAUAGAUUAAGGUGCUGCUCUUAACCUAUAAAGCUUUAAAUGGCCUUGCUCCAUCUUAUUUAAAUGAUCUUCUAGCCCCAUAUGUUCCUAAAUGCUCACUCCGAUCACAGGAUGCCUUGCUUACUUAAUAUUCCCAAAAUUCAGAAAACAACACAGGUACUAGAGCAUUGAGCUAAAUUAUUAAAUGUCCUGCCUAGCCCUGUAAGGAAAGCUCCCAGUGUCUGCUGCCUUUAAAAAUAGACUAAAAACUAAUUUUCCACUUCUAGCUUAUAUAUCUUUAAAUGUUUUCUUACCCUUUCUUGCUUGUUUUACUGUUUUAAUGAUUUUUUUUUUAGUUUGUAUUCUGUUAAUUUUUACUGCGUAUUGUUACUUUUUGUAAUAUGUAUUCAUGUUUUUAUCCUUGUAAAGCUCUAUAUAAAAAUAAAGAUGAAUCAGAAACUAUUAUUUUACAAAAAUAAAUGAUAAUUAUUAUUUUAAAUUCUAGAAAUAAUUUCUACCACAUCAGGUUUUACUAGGCAUUAAGGACAGUGUUUCAGAAUGAUAUUCAUUACGUGAAUGGCUGGUAAUGCACAGCAUGGACGAACCUGUA